ACAAUUAUCUAGAAAGAUGAAGCUGUUAUCUUCAAGAAAACAGGUGUUUAUAAUUAUCUUUAUAUUUUACGACUUCAUUUAUAAAAACAGAAAUUAAAUCUAUAGGCUUUUUAAAAAAUGAUCUUUCCUUAGAAGUAGCACUGCUUUGGAUUUAGACUUCUUUUCCUUGUUUUCACAAAAUCUAGGAUUGUUUUAUAAAUUUCUUUUCUAACAUACAUAUAGGGCUACUAAAAAUAUUAACUAAAAAUAACAAAUAAGAACUAUGUUUUAAUCAUCUGAUGGGAAAACUGUCAGACAAAAAUACUAUUUAUAAAAAUUUCAUCACUAUUAAGUUUUUAAAUUUAUUUUAAAUUUUUCUAAACAAUAAUAAUUUAAUGAUUUAAAUAAGUUAAUUCUAUUCUAAGGUAUAAAGAACUAAUCUGAUUUUUCAUCAACUUUUUAUCAUAAAACAUAUUCAUAAAAACC
rnacentral:lncRNA from 1 species